rnacentral:RNase_P_RNA from 1 species
CGAGUCGGCCGGGUGACGGCUGCUGGGCUUCGGUCCAGGGGAGGAAAGUCCGGACUUCAAAGAGCGCAGUGCCCGGCGCAAGCCGGGGCGGGGCGACCCGACGGAAAGUGCCACAGAAACUAAACCGUCUUGGGGAAACCCAGGAUAAGGGUGAAAAGGUGAGGUAAGAGCUCACCGGAACCUUGGGUAACCGGGUUGCCGGGCAAACCCCACUGGAAGCAAGACCAAAUAGGGAGGGGAUGAGGCUGCUCGCGGACCCUCCGGGUUGGUCGCAUAGACAAAUCGUCACACAAAGACAGAAUCCGGCUUACAGGCCGACUCGCCUG